AAAGUCGUAACAAGGUUUCCGUAGGUGAACCUGCGGAAGGAUCAUUAACGAGUAACGGGUCCUUCUGGGCUCGCACUCCAACCCUUUGUUUACCUGCUCUGUGCCUCGGCAGGGUGCCUUUCAGGUACACCUGCCGGGAGAGAGGCCGCGACAGACAGCUGGUUUCGGCUUGCUUAAGACGCAGCUUCUGCCAAUUAAACUCUGUAAACUUAAGAGUCUGAUUUAAAAUAUAUGGAAUUAAAACUUUCAACAACGGAUCUCUUGGUUCUG
rnacentral:misc_RNA from 1 species